rnacentral:lncRNA from 1 species
UUGCAAGACUGAAAAGCAAUGGGUGUUUAUAGUCGGAUGAUGAAGUAAGAGGGUUAUUGUCAUUGUGCCAGUGUCAGCUAUUUCAGAUAACUUUAUGUCUGCCUGCUGUCUGCUGAAUGAAACCAUAGACAACGUGAUAUCAGCUUUGUCUGCAAUUGCGACUUUUAGGCUGGAAAAAAAAUAACCUUCUUGACAUCUCUUGGGUCUGCAGUGUAGAUGGGCCAUUAACUUUGUGCACACUCUUCACACCAUGCAGACAAUAAUAUUUGACUAACUCGCAGUGUUGCUGCUAAGUGAUGACUGUGCUCUGCGUUGAGGUUACUGGAAGGAAGGCUCUGUUCUUGCAUACUGUCACGAGAAAGAUACAGAGGAACAAAAUAUCACCAUUUGCUUGUUCUUCUGAGUGCCUGGGGAUGGAGUGACAUGAGGCCCUGAGCUAGGAAGGGAAAGACUGAACUCCUCAGGUUUCAGGUUUUCAUAUUCCUCAUGAAAAUGAUGAUUUUUAAGAUGUGUUGCUUUUGCAGUUGCGCAGCAAAGAGGACCUUUGAGUAACUGGAGCAAAAGGACAAUAGCCUCAUCACAAGGGUUGUUCUGGAUGACAGUAUAGGAUAGCUAAAGGGGAAAAAAUGUAAGAAACAUCGCACCAGCAGUUAAUUUGCACUAUUUCCAACAAUUCAGCUAAGACCAGAGAAAACAAAUAUAUGGGUUUAAAGACGGUUGCUAUAGAAACCAGAAGAGAUUUUAUAGUUGCUUAUGAAAGUAACGGAGGUUCUGAUUGAUAAGACAAUCGCAUUCACAGAGUCACUAUGGAAACCCAAGGUGACCCGGAGGAGACGUGACUCCUCUCGCUCUGCUCCUGGGGGCAGAUGGAGGCAGCGUGGAUGGGGGAAGGUCUGGGCUGGGCGAUGAAGCAUGCUUGCUGUCAGGCUAGAGAUGCUCAGCAUUUCACAUUUCAAAGCUGUGAGAGUGCUGAUCGCUGUAGUGGAGACAUUGAAACUGCAGGCUACUACUGGAAAUGGAGGCAUCACCACCGCUGUGGUGGGGCCACAGUAACCCGGAAUGGCUGCAGGCCUGGAAGCAGGGAGAGCGGAUCGGAUGCACAUUACCUUGAAUGAAGUUCCUGCUGGUUUUAGAGAUAAGCAAAAUUGUUACCUAUUACUAAAGCUGUCGACUCAUGGCUGGAGGUAGAAAUCACUGCUUUAAUGGAGUCCUAAUGAUCCUGCUACAAAGAAUGAGAGAAAGAGAGUAAUAUUUAAUAAAAGAUGUGCUCAUGGGAAGGUGCA